GUGAGCAGAAGGUUUAAGAGGCAGCACCUGGUUCACUCUGUCUUUUUCCCUUCGCUAUGAGACUGGCAAGGUUCCAGAUAGCAACUGUUCUAGCAGCCAGGGUCCUGGAGAGAAGUCAACAUGAAGCAGAGCCACAGAUACGCCACAGAUAAGCUUAUGUAAUGAAGAGCCUUUAUGAGUUGUAACACUCACCGCCAAAGUCUGCAGCUUCACUCCUGAAGCCAGCGAGACCACAAACCCACCAGGAGGGACGAACAACUCCACACGCGCCACCUUUAUGAACUGUAACACUCACCGCAAAGGUCUGCAACUUCACUCCUGAAGCCAGCGAGACCAUGAACCCAAUGGGAGGAACAAACAACUCCAGACGCGCUGCCUUUAAGAGCUGUAACACUCACUGCGAAGGUCUGCGGCUUCACUCCUGAAGUCAGAGAAACCACGAACCCAGCAGAAGGAAGAAAAUCCAGGCACACCAUCUUUAAGAACUGUAGCACUCACCACCAGGGUCUGUGGAUUCAUUCUUGAAGUCAGCGAGACCAAGAACCCACCAAUUCCGGACACAGUUUGUCUGUGUCCCCACCCAAAAUCUCAUCUUGAAUUGUAAUAAUACCUGUGUAUCAAGGACGGGACCAGGUGGAGAUAAUUGAAUCAUGAGGGCGGUUUCCCUCAAACUGUUCUCCUGAUAGUAAGUGAGCUCUCACAAGAUCUGACGGCUUUAUAUGGGGCUUUCCCCUUCACCCAGCUCUCAUUUUCUCUCCUGCCACCCUGUGAAGAGGUGCCUUCUGUCAUGAUUGUAAGUUUCUUGAGGCCUCCCCAGACAUGCUGAACUACACUUUCGGGAACUUUAAAAGAUGCCUACCACCAUUUGUCUCUCAUGAAGAUGUGAACUGCGACUGGAAACAGCUCAGUCUCUCACAGACCCGUUCCAUGAAAGAAGUCUCGUAAGCAAUUCAGUCAGCUGAAGAAACACUGUAAUCCAGUAGUGCUCUGAUGUUGGAAUAGAAGAUAUAAGGUUUUGAUUUCUGCCUUAAUCAAUUAUGAG
rnacentral:lncRNA from 1 species